CAGAAGACUAUGAAACAAAAAUUUCAAGUGAGCACCUGAGAACCCUAGCCUUUUACUAACCAAAUCUUAACCAGUUGAGUCACUCAUCUGUCUCUAGCUUAAGCACUUCCACUCAAUUUCUACUUGCCUGCCUUGUCGUCUCAGCUGAUCUGUUGGACUUGGUCCCAGUCCAUGAAGACCUGCCUCUUUCCACCAGGAGCCCGUGCUCCCUACCACUCUGCAGAAGCUGACCCGCCUUUUUAGGGUCGAGUCAUGGGUCGUCUCCAUCUUGGCUCCCUGAGGAUGAGGCGCUUCUGCCUAACUUCUUCCAGGGCUCCCAGACUUCUCUUCCUCUUGGCUGCCUCCCCUGGUGUGUUCUGGAGAAGAAUAUUCACUCUCUUGACAAAGGAAUUUAAAGAGUGCCAGAGCUGAGGGGGGCCAGGGCCACAUUGGGAACUGAGUACUUGAAAGUGCCCCCUCGGCGGAUGGCAGGAAAAGGGGAGCAUUCACACACAGGGGUAUACUGUUGAAGAAAUGCCAAGUCCUGCUUUCUUUGAUUCUCUUUGAGUGUUUCUUCAAAUAAGGUGCCCAGCAGAAUGGCUUCUUACCUUCGUAUAAGAAUGGCACAUUCUGCUGAAAGAUGUUGCGCCAGGAAGAUGGAGAUAAAAUCCUGAGGAAACCAAGCAACGAGAAAGCCAGGCAACUUCACCAGCAGAGGGCGCCAGACCACCAGCGGCGCCUCACAGGAAGUCCGGAUGUUAAACACAAAGGGACACAGCCCAGAGGCAGCUGGCCAUGGAGCAGAGAACUCAGUGAAAGGCAGAAAACUCUGACAAGCCUUUUCCAGUUGUUUGUAUCAGAGGAUGUGGAAUCUGAGGAUAUAGAACCCGCAGAUACAGAAGACGCUGGCUGUAUGAGGAAAUGAUAAGCCACAGGCAGCAAGAAUUAAUGUAAAACAGAGAAUGAUCAGCAGAACACAGAAAAGUAAAAGAGAGGCGGCGUCACAGGAAACUGGAUGUGAAGACUGUAAUACAUCUCUGCAAAAUAUUCAAUACUCCUGUCUGCAAAAGGCAAGUUCUCUUCAUACUCUGUUGGUGAGACUGUAAAUUAGCACAAGGACUAUAGAGAACAAUUUGGAGGUUCCACAAACUAAAGAUAGAGCUACCAUCUAAUCCAGCAAUCCCACUGCUAGCUAUAUACCCCAAAGAAAGGAAAUCAGUAUAUCGAAGAGAUAUCUGCAUGCCCAUGUUUGUAGCAGCUCUGUUUACAAUAGCCAAGAUUUGGAAGCAACCUAAGUGUCCAUCAACAAAUGAAUGGAUGGAGAGAAUGUGGUACAUAUACACAAUGGAGUACUAUUCAGCCACACACAAAAAAAAAGAUUCUGUCAUUUGCAACAACAUGAAUGGAACUGGAGGUCAUUAUGUUGAGUGGAGUAAGACAGACACAGAGAGAUGAACUUCACAUUUUCUCAUUUAUUUGUGGGAGCUAGAAAGUAAAAUAAUUCAAUGCAUGGAGAUAGGGAGUAGAAUGAUGGUUACCAGAGGCUGGGAAGGGUAAUAGGGUAGUGGGAAGUGGGGAUGGUUAACAGAUUCAAAAAAAUAGAAAGAAUAAAAAAGAUCUAGUAUUUGAUAGCACAACAGGGUGACAAUAGUCAAUAAUAACUUAAUUUCACACUUUAAAUAACUAAACAAUUGAAUUGUUUGUAAUACAAAGGAUAAAUGCUUGAGGUGAUGGAUGCCCCAUUUACCCUGAGGUGAUUAUUACACAUUGUAUACCUGUCUCAAAAUAUCUCAUGUACCCUAUAAAUGUAUAUACCUACUAUGUAUCCACAAAAAUUAAAUUUUUUUAAAUGUAGGUUCUACAUCCCUUCCCCCUUGAAUCUGACUUAACUUUAGUGACCAAUAAAGUAUGGUUAGAGUGACACCAUAUGACUUUCAUAGGCAUCAGACCUAUGAAAUCAUAGAGGGCCGCAUGCUCAAAGAGCCCUGCACUUGGUAUAAUGCUCUGCUGUUGCAGUCUUGAGCUUCUUGAUAAUUUGUGAACAAGGGGCCCACAUUUUCACCUUGCCUUGGGCCCACGAAGUAUAGAAUCAGUUCUGCUUCUGAGGCUAGGUCAUAAACGGUGAUGCAGCUUCCUCCUUGUUCUCUGGAACACUCAUGUCGGAGAGUUAAAGCCACCCUAGGAGCACUGGCAUUCCAAGAGCCCAGAUGGAGAAGUGCUGAGACUCCAGCCAUAGUUUGACUGCAAGCACCUGAGAAACCCAGAGCCAGACCUACCCACCUGAACCCUUCCCAAGUCCUGAUCAGCAGGAUAAUAAAACGGUUGCCAUGUUCUAAGCCUUAAAGUUUUAGGCUGAUUUUUUACAAAACAAUAGUGAUUUGGAACAUGGGAUUAUGUCAGACCAGAUUUGAUUUUUUAAACCAUGAGUUCUUAAUCUUUUGCGUGCAAUAAACAAGAGAGGCGCAAGUAAGGACAGGUGGAAACACUUCUUUAGUCCAUUUUCUCCAGCUAUUAGCUGUUAAGCAAGAAAGGGAGAUAGUUUAGGAGAGCACAUAGCCCUGGGACCCAGGAAAGGAGCACAUCUUGACAAGUCACUUCCUAGGGUGGAGCCUGAACCUGAAGCCAGAUGAACCAAUGGUGCAUCAAUGUGAAGAGCCUAAUUGAAUGAGGCACAGAGUGUGAAGAGAAACAGAAACUUAUUCACCUAAUUCAUCUUCAUUCGGUUUGUAUGUGUCCUGGGAUCAACCUUCAGACUGCUGAAUCCUUUUGCAUUUCUUUUUUUGAGAUGGAGUCUCGCUCUGUUGCUCAGGCUGGAGUGCAGUGGUGCAAUCUUGGCUCACUGCAACCUCUGCCUCUCAAGUAGCUGGGAUUACAGGUGCCCACCACCAUGCCUGGCUAAUUUUUGUAUUUUUAGUAGAGAUGGUGUUUCACCAUCUCUAACAUGGUCUCUAAAUACUGACUUCAAGUGAUCCACCCACCUUGGCCUCCCAAAGUGCUGGGAUUACAGGCAUGCCAUUCUCCUGCCUCAGCCUCCCGAGUAGCUGGGACUACAGGCGCCCGCCACCACACCCGGGUAAUUUUUUUGUAUUUUUAGUAGAGACGGGGUUCCACCAUGUUAGCAAGGAUGGUCUCGAUCUCCUGACCUCGUGAUCCGACCACCUCAGCCUCCCAAAGCACCGGGAUUACAGGCGUGAGCCACCGUGCCUGGCCCUCCUUUUGCAUUUCUAACCUCUGAUAGAGUUUGCAGGGCUAAGGAAUAAUGGCCACCAUUCAUCAAGGGCUCAUCGUGAGCCAGACUCCUCACCUACACUAGCUUGAAUCUCACAUACAGCCCCAUGGUGGGGGCGGGGGGGGGGGUUGUAUUAUGCCCAGUUUAAAAGUUAGGAAGGGAAGCUUAGAAUAAUGAAGUAGCUUUAUAAAGGUAACAUCUAUUGAGUGCUGACUGUGUGCAAGCUCUGCUGCGUGUUCCAUAUGCAUUACCCCACUGAAUGCUCACAGUCAUGCUCUGAAGGAGGGGAUCACACCAUCCCCAUUGACAACAGAUUAUACUCUCCUUCAGAGAGGUUAGGUAAUUUGCCCAAGGUCACAGAAUAGCAGAGCAGGGAUGCUGAUCCAAAACUAUACACAGAGUCUGUCUCCUAGGGCAACUCCAAAGCCCAGGCUCAGCCCAAGGGAUACUCUAUUGCCUCCUUGAAAAGCUCCUUCUGCAGAAGAGGAAAGGGGAAGGAUUUACCCCAAUGUCAGGAGUUUGGUCUUUGGAGGGCAUAGGGGGACAUCUCCCUCAACUCCCAUCACUGUUAUUAGAUUAUUGAAAUACAUGGACUUUACAGUUUGGGGGAUACAUGAGGCCUAUUUUAUAAGAGAUGUCAUUAAAAAAAAACUUCAGUGAGUUUAUUUUGUGCCCCAUAAGGCCUCCCAUCAGAGGACUGUGCCAUUCUGAUUAGCUACUAGCCUAAGAUUUGGCAGUGACAUGGCAAAAGCUCUCUGGAAACAUAUAGGGUCCGCUUGCCCCUACUUGCACAAAAUGUCUUUAUUUGUCUCUAGACCUGGCUGUCAUUUGGUUCCACUUCUAUCAGGCAAGAAAGGUAGACUCACUUAAAACAAAUGCAGUCAACUGCACGUUCCAGGCUGGGCCAUAUCUUUUAUGAGGGUGAUGUGGAUCAACACACAAUCUGAACUUUUCUGUUUCUCUGGCUUAUAUUCACAGGGUUUUGUGUGUGUUUGUCUUUUUGAUAACUUUCAAAGCUGAUUUUGCCGGCGAUUUCUAAGGUUAGCAACAUCACCCCAUCAGACACUUCUUUUCCUUCUCCUAGAUGAGAUCUUACACCAUCUAUUCCCAAUCAUGUUUUCUUGCUUAUUGCGUAAAUUGCAUUCAUCACUCUAAAAGGACUUGAAACACCUUGACUGCUUUCUCUUAUGUGGAACUUGAAAUGCAUCGAUUUCCGUUGCUACAGCCCUAGCUAUAUAUUUAUUAUCUGUCAGUUCUAGUUUACUUAGAAGUUGCCUGUACAGAACCCAGCAGUCUGAAACUAGCUCACCAAAAAAGGGAAUCAAAAGCCAUAGUUCAUCCACAUGUUGACACUUGCCAUCCACCCUUGCAGUUCAACUCAGUAUCUUUCUCUACUGGGAAGGCCCCUGACAUCUGAGGGCUCUCUCUCCUUCAGUGGCCAUCAGAAAAGCCCUCUAAAUGCCUCCAGCUGCUAGAAGAGAACAAAGUUGUCACUUCUAGUGAUCAAAUUCAGAACAUCCUGUUAUUGCUGCCACCAUCAUGAAUGUAUGUCACACAGCAAAGUUAUGUGAGCCUCAGUUCCCAGGAAUACCAUAAAAGGAAUAUUCCUAAGUUAGGUCCUAGGGAACUACCUCAGAGGAAUGACUGGUCUAGAGGACAGAGAGUGAGCUUUAUUUAUUUAUUUUAUUUUUUAUGUUUAUUUUUUCUUUGAGGCGGAGUUUCACUCUUGUCGUCCAGGCUGGAGCACAACGGCAUGAUCUCGGCUCAGUGCAACCUCCAUCUCCCGAGUUAAAGCGAUUCUCCUGCCUCAGCCUCCAGAGUGGCUGGGAUUACAAGCACCUGCCACCACCCCCUAGUAGAGACAGGGUUCCACCAUGUUGACCAGGCUGGUCUUGAACUCCUGACCUCAGGUGAUCCCUCCCAAAGUGCUGAGAUUACAGGCGUGAUCCACCACACCUGGCCAGAGAGUGAGCUUUACAGCAAGAUAGAUGUAGUAUUAGAAAAGUAAUUUAACUUCUCUUAGGGGUAGUUUUUGUCUCUGUAAAUGUUGAUGAUAAUAAUUCACUUCCAGGGUCAUAUAAAACUUACAAAUAAUGUCUGAAAAAAGUUUGUCUCCAUGCCUGACAGAAUGUCUUCAGUAAAGAGUAAUUAUUAUUAUGAAAAGCAAGAAACUAUUAAUAGCAUUCUUGAAAAUAAUCUAUUGUUAAUGAAGUUAUACAUGCAUAUAGUUUAAAUGGUCAAAUUAGGCUGUCGGUCUUGUUAUGAUAGCACCAUUCCUUAUGUUAUGCCUACUUUCCACUCCACAGGCAAUGAAAAACUGUUUUCCAAAUUAGUUGGAGUCCCUUAACACUCCCAUGGGUCCGUGAGCUCUUGGAUUCUGGAAAUGCAUAACCUUAAAUUUAGGGUAUUUUAAAUUAUAUUUAAAUUAUUUUUGGUUGACAUUCUGGCUGAUUUCUUUAAUUUUAUCCUCCUUUCUUUGUUGAAACUAAACCUGGAUCUUAAUCAUGUUAUAAGCUAACAAUAAACUUGGAUUCUCCCCCAAGCUGGCAAAAGACUCAUGAAUUUGUAUUGUAUUUGGAGAAAAUAAUAAAAGG
rnacentral:lncRNA from 1 species